rnacentral:rRNA from 1 species
CCCUUAGAUGUUCUGGGCUGCACGCGCGCUACACUGGUCGAUGCAACGAGUUUCUUUCCUUGGCCGACAGGCCUGGGCAAUCUUUGAACAUCGAUCGUGAUCGGGAUAGAUUCUUGUAAUUUUUGAUCUUAAACGAGGAAUUCCUAGUAAACGCAAGUCAUCAGCUUGCAUUGAUUACGUCCCUGCCCUUUGUACACACCGCCCGUCGCACCUACCGAUUGAAUGGUCCGGUGAAAUCUCCGGACUGGCGUGAGUCGGAGCAAUCUGACAAACGCCGGAAAGUUGAUUAAACCUUACCAUUUAGAGGAAGGUGAANUCGUANCA